AUUGAACGCUGGCGGCAGGCUUAACACAUGCAAGUCGAACGGUAACAGGUUAAGCUGACGAGUGGCGAACGGGUGAGUAAUGUAUCGGAACGUGCCCAGUUGUGGGGGAUAACUGCUCGAAAGAGCAGCUAAUACCGCAUACGACCUGAGGGUGAAAGCGGGGGAUCGCAAGACCUCGCGCAAUUGGAGCGGCCGAUAUCAGAUUAGGUAGUUGGUGGGGUAAAGGCUCACCAAGCCGACGAUCUGUAGCUGGUCUGAGAGGACGACCAGCCACACUGGGACUGAGACACGGCCCAGACUCCUACGGGAGGCAGCAGUGGGGAAUUUUGGACAAUGGGCGCAAGCCUGAUCCAGCCAUGCCGCGUGCGGGAAGAAGGCCUUCGGGUUGUAAACCGCUUUUGUCAGGGAAGAAACGCUCUGGGUUAAUACCCUGGGGUAAUGACGGUACCUGAAGAAUAAGCACCGGCUAACUACGUGCAGCCGCCGCCGUAAUAC
rnacentral:rRNA from 1 species